rnacentral:rRNA from 1 species
AUUGAUUUUAUGCUUGCAUAAAUGAUUUUUGGAUUCGGAGCGAGUGGCGAACUGGUGAGUAACACGUGGGUAACCUGCCCCGAAGCGGGGGAUAACAUUCGGAAACAAGUGCUAAUACCGCAUAAUUAGUUGGAACCGCAUGGUUCCAACUUGAAAGAUGGCUCUGCUAUCACUUUGGGAUGGACCCGCGCCGUAUUAGUUAGUUGGUGAGAUAAAAGCCCACCAAGACGAUGAUACGUAGCCGACCUGAGAGGGUAAUCGGCCACAUUGGGACUGAGACACGGCCCAGACUCCUACGGGAGGCAGCAGUAGGGAAUCUUCCACAAUGGACGAAAGUCUGAUGGAGCAACGCCGCGUGAGUGAUGAAGGUUUUCGGAUCGUAAAACUCUGUUGUUAAAGAAGAACAAGUGUUAGAGUAACUGUUAACACUUUGACGGUAUUUAACCAGAAAGCCACGGCUAACUACGUGCCAGCAGCCGCGGUAAUACGUAGGUGGCAAGCGUUGUCCGGAUUUAUUGGGCGUAAAGCGAGCGCAGGCGGUUUUGUAAGUCUGCUGUGAAAGCCCUCAGCUCAACUGAGGAAGUGCAGUGGAAACUACAAAACUUGAGUACAGAAGAGGAAAGUGGAACUCCAUGUGUAGCGGUGAAAUGCGUAGAUAUAUGGAAGAACACCAGUGGCGAAGGCGGCUUUCUGGUCUGUUACUGACGCUGAGGCUCGAAAGCAUGGGUAGCGAACAGGAUUAGAUACCCUGGUAGUCCAUGCCGUAAACGAUGAAUACUAGGUGUUGGAGGGUUUCCGCCCUUCAGUGCCGCAGCUAACGCAUUAAGUAUUCCGCCUGGGGAGUACGACCGCAAGGUUGAAACUCAAAGGAAUUGACGGGGGCCCGCACAAGUGGUGGAGCAUGUGGUUUAAUUCGAUGCUACGCGAAGAACCUUACCAGCUCUUGACAUCUUCUGCCAACCCAAGAGAUUGGGCGUUCCCUUCGGGGACAGAAUGACAGGUGGUGCAUGGUUGUCGUCAGCUCGUGUCGCGAGAUGUUGGGUUAAGUCCCGCAACGAGCGCAACCCUUAUUAUUAGUUGCCAGCAUUUAGUUGGGCACUCUAGUGAGACUGCCGGUGAUAAA